CAGCUUGCCACUCGGUUGGGUUUUCCCACCAGCCACGGUACCGGGGACAGCUCGGACGGUUCCCCUCCCUGGCUUCCUGGCGCCGCUCAUCUUCUCCCUGUACCUCGACGGGGCAGGUGGUGGGAUCCAGACAUCCCAGCAAGGACGUGGGCAACAGGCUCAGAGGCACACGUGGGAGGACAGCGUCCAAAGGGGGUUUGCGUCUCCUCCACGAAUCCGUCCCACAAACCGAUCCGCCGCUGGUGCCCCGUGAGCCCAGCACCGGGGCUGCGAGACGAGCCGCAGCACGGAAAGUGGAGCAGCAUCAGGACCCGAAACGCAGCCCCCCUGAGCACGUACCCGCUCCAGCCAUCUUCCAGCCUGAGAAGCCCGCCACGAAGGGUCGGAGCCGGUUCAGCGAGCGAUUCGUCCGCGUUCCUGCCAGCUAGACAGCCCCCGCUGCAAAUACGGGCUACAAAAAUAUUAAUGAUCGUCAUCAUAACGGCCCUUUAAUUUUCUUUCUAUACGAAAAUAAAACAGCGAUGUUUGCAGAAGGUUCUCAUUUAGGGAAACAUCUGGAGUCAGCACUUCUCCCCCGAAGGGCAGCAAAGUGGUUCAGGGAAACAUCAGCCUGCGCACGCUCCGGGGGAGGAAGAGGAGGAGGAAGGAGUUGAUUAGUCCGGUCCCGAGGGGAACGGAUGCAGCACGCAGCUCUGUUCCCCAGAUCCCGACGCCGAAGGGGAGCACCGCACCUUCGCCGCGCGGCUUCGAUCGCCCCCGCGCUCGCCCCGGCCGAAGGACCGCGACCCUCCAGCACGCCGCAAAGGAUGCUGAGCCCAGCCUCGUUAUGCAGAUAAAAGCAAUUAGAGCUGGCCCAGGCUCUGCCCACCUGACGCGGUUUAUGGCACGGGCAGAAAUCGUUCCUGCGAGGCGAGGGGGACAGCAGCAGCCCCGGUGGCACGGGGGCCGCUCCGCUCUGCAGGCGCCCCGGCCCCGGCGCCGCGGGAAGCCCAGCCACGCUGGCGCGCUUCCUCACCUCGAUAAAGACGUUCUCCGACCUCAGGCUUUCUGAAGCCCUCGGGGGAAGGACUUCCCAAGGAAGAGUCACCCCGUCUUGCAGGGAGACGCCAACCCUGCCGGCAACAAGUUCGCACAAGCUCUUGGCACUGCAGAGGAGGGAGGACUAAGGGAGGGGAAUGAAGUCAGAAGUGACUCUGAAGCCGGUUUUCUCUACCAAGUUGGAAAGGGCUGAGUCCCCCCAAAAGGCAUUGCUACGCUCUUUGGGACGGCGUCUGAGUGGAUCCGCUUUGCUGCAGGGUGCUUUUAGUUUGGGAGAGGGUUGAGCACCAGCAGAAAGGGGCAGAGCAGAAACAUGCUGCAUGCAAGGCAGCAACCUUCCAGGAACUAGUUCAGCUUCAAGUUCUGCCUUUGAAAUGACCUAAAUUCACUGCUGCAGGGUUAAAAAGCAACG
rnacentral:lncRNA from 1 species